GGGGAUAACUAUUGGAAACGAUAGCUAAUACCGCAUAAUCUCUUCGGAGCAAAGAGGGGGACCUUCGGGCCUCUCGCGUCAGGAUUAGCCCAGGUGGGAUUAGCUAGUUGGUGGGGUAAUGGCUCACCAAGGCGACGAUCCCUAGCUGGUCUGAGAGGAUGAUCAGCCACACUGGAACUGAGACACGGUCCAGACUCCUACGGGAGGCAGCAGUGGGGAAUAUUGCACAAUGGGGGAAACCCUGAUGCAGCCAUGCCGCGUGUAUGAAGAAGGCCUCGGGUUGUAAAGUACUUUCAGUUGUGAGGAAGGCGUUGAAGUUAAUAGCUU
rnacentral:ncRNA from 1 species